GAUGUCAUUCUUCUUUAUGGCUGUAUAGCAUUCCAUGGUGUAUAUGUACCACAUUUUCUUUAUCCAAUCUACCAUUGCCAGGCACCUAGGUUGAUACCAUGUCUGCUAUUGUGAAUAGUGUUACAACAAACAUUGGAG